UCCGGUUUGUCACCGGCAGUCCCCUUAGAGUCCCCGACUUGACUCGCUGGCAACUGGGAGCGGGGGUUGCGCUCGUUGCGGGACUUAACCCAACAUCUCUCGACACGAGCUGACGACAGCCAUGCAGCACCUGUCUUGGGACUCCGAAGAGGGGCCGUGGUUUCUCACGGCUUUCCCCAAGAUGUCAAGCCCAGGUAAGGUUCUUCGCGUUGCGUCGAAUUAAACCACAUGCUCCACCGCUUGUGCGGGCCCCCGUCAAUUCCUUUGAGUUUUAGCCUUGCGGCCGUACUUCCCAGGCGGGACACUUAAUGCGUUAGCUGCGGCACUGGAGGGGUCGAUGCCUCCAACACCUAGUGUCCACCGUUUACGGCCAGGACUAC
rnacentral:misc_RNA from 1 species